GGGAGGACUUCUGGCCGGCUUGCCGAGUACCUCUUGACUAGGCUCGGCCUGGAAUGCCCCGGUCUCAUGUCCAUCACCUUAAUCUCUGACGCUGUUCUCUAAAGCCAUGUUAUCAGGGCGCAGGCGGCGUGCCAGACCAGGCGGCCGAUAAGCCGGGGAAACUCUUUACAAGCAAAGCCCACCCACCCCACCCCCUACCUCAGUCGGCUACCUGCCUUCACGGAUCUUCACAGGUGAGACUGCAGGGACAAAGGCGAGGAGGGAAGUCUCGGCACGAAGUGUAUGGCCUUCUGGACAACGAUUGAUACUUCACAGCUUUCCUGGACAAAGUGAUAAUAAUAUAAAUAGAGUCGAUCUAGCAAAAUGUAACCAACCCCCCCAAAAAAAUUUUUUUUUUCUCUCAUCUGUGUCGUCUCUGCAUGCAGUUCAAGUCUAGACAUCACUACGAGGAUCAGCGUGUUAUACAGAUAUCUACACGCGGACACAUGUGAACAGGCAAACGAACCUGGGACACCUGUGUGAACAGGUAAACAGACUUGAAGCCAGGAUUUAUAAGUGACUCAUAGUACGGCUUCAUCUCCUCAGCCCUCACCUGGAUGAGCAUGGCCUAGCAAUCAUUGUGUGUGUGAAAGGACAAUGAAUUUUCUUGUUCUUCUUCAAACAUAAAACCUCUCAUCAGAACGGAAUCUUACUAAAUCAGAUGCGGAAAGAACAGAACGAGUACAUGCGAACAUAUUGUAUCAAUGUAAUAAACACACACAACCAAAAUGGCCGAACGUAGAGCGAAAAGGUGUUGUGGUUGGCAGUGUCCAUUCAUAUCGACGAGUAGGUUUAAAGGAAGACACCUGCUCUACAAAAUCGGCUUUGUUGGUCUCCUGCUAUCUGCACUAGGGCUUGUGUUCGGUGUGACGUGCCCAGGCUGGAUUGUGCACACGUCACACGACAGCACCCGCUAUGGCGGCCUCUUCCUCUCCUGUCGGACAGCGUGAUACGCUGUGAAGUCAUUUCACCUGAGCGAUAUCCAGAGAGGCUGCGCACUACUCAGUGCUUAGCCGUGCUGGGUCUCCUGUCGCUAUUACUGGCCUCUGGGAUAGGCAUCUUCGACAACUUCCUGUCAAAGAAUGGAAAUCCUUCUAGACUACCAGAACUCUUGACAAUUAGCGGAGCUGUCAUGACAUUUUGCGGAGUGAUGGUGUACGUGGGUGAAUACGACAGCAUCGUCCAAGUCCCAGGCGUCUCCUAUGGCUACUCCAUGAUUGUCUCCCUGUUGGCCUCCUUGCUGGCAGGCGGCGCCAGCCUUUCCGUCUUUCUGGGAGGUUUCCUCUCUUCGAAGCCGUCCCAUGCGAGAAGUACAGCCAGCAUUUCGCCCAUCGUGGAUCCGUUCGAGGCAACGACACCAGUAACCAGGCAGAGACCUCCCACCGCCACUGGCUUGGCUCGUCCCACAACCUCCCGGACACGUCCAGCCCCGCUGUCGGAGAGUUCAGUCAGUCUCUGGCUACGAUGACCUUGUUUCCUCGCCAUUCUUCCAAUUUUCGGAAAA